UGUCAAUUGUCGUUGUGUCAAAUAUGGUUUAAUCAAAUUUUAUAUUAAAGAUUAUAUGCAUGCUUUAUAUUGCUAAUAUUUAGGCUAGAGGUAUUUCUUCCCUAAUCGUUACAAAGUAAUUGGGUAUUAAUAAAAAUCCUCUAUUUCCUAUAGAAACUAUUGCAACUGUAUAUUUGUAUUUUGUGAGAAAAUCUAUCGAAGAAAUCAUUAUGGUUCAUUGGAAAGGCAAAUUGGACAUCGCUAGCAGUCGGUCUUUAUAUGAACCGACGAAGAGGAAUAGCUCAAGUUGUUGGUAGAAGAAAUAUGGUGUAUAUAUCCAGGUUAAUGGAGACAGGACAUUGGGAACAAGGAAUGUCCAGAAAUGGAUUGACAUAUAGAGAACAGUUCUUUGUAUUAAGAAAAUGAAGCAGGAAUUUAUUUUUAUGUAUAUAAUAAAAAGUUUUUUGUGUUUAAAUUAAAGAGAAAUGGUGAACCGGAGUCCAGAACGUUUUUUUUUCUGCUGAACCGAACUGAAACAAAUAUGUGAACCGGUUCAACGGGAAUUAAACUUUAUUUAUAAUAAACAUUAGAAGAAAAAAAUAUAAAAUUUUAAAAAAGUAAAGAUUUCAUACA